AGUAUUAUCCCUGUUUCACAGGUGAGGAUGUUGACUUUCUCAAGGUUCUCACGUAGCGGACAGUGGAACAGCCUGUGGCCUAACCAGUAUCCUACACUGUCUCAUUGCACCAUUCUCUCUUCCUUAAAAUCUUAGGCCCCUUUUGUAUCAAGUGAAACAGAUACGGUCUGAUUAUAUGCAACAUUAGGAGCUUGCUGGUUCAUAAAUCAAUUUUCUCUAACAAAAGGGAUUAUCUUUUAGCAACUGAGCCUCCACUUGUUGAGUCACUGCACCCCAGUGCUAGGCAUCAUUUGUGCAGAGCUGAACAGCGAGUUCAGUAAUGGCAGCUAGUUGUACCCCAGAACUAUCUGUGCUGCCGGUGUGUGUGUGUGUGUGUGUGUGUGUGUCUCUUCCCUGGGUUAAGUUUGCUUAUAAACAGCCCUUGGAACCAACCCAAGAGAAACCUCUUCUGUCUCCAACAGAACGGCUGGCCAAUCCCUCUUGCUUUCUGAGUGCUCCUCCAGGAGUCUGGCCCUGCUGGCUCGGAGGAAGGCUCUGAUGGAGAAGCCUCUGGGACUGCUGGGCAGGCUUUGCCCAUGCUGCCCAGCAACCUACAGGCAUUCCCAAGCCACCAGGCCUAUGUGCCUUUCACUCUAAUGCUUGAUGCGACUGGAACCUCAAAGCAGGAUGGGGGGAGGGGUGACAAGCAGGAAGAGAGGACAAGGCCUACUUAAACUGGGGGAGCUUUGAGGGGAAUGGAGAUAAAUAGCCAUUGGGUUUAACAAAAACCCAAAUCUGUGACAGAAAAGUCAUCCUGGGAAGAGACACAAAAUAAUUCUAAGGAAUGUUUAGAAAAGGCAAAAUCUGGUAGUUUAUUUUACAGCUCUUAGUUUACCUGUACAUCAUCAAAUACUCAUUGCUAUCCAAGGCCUUUAAGAAGUUAUGUGGCGAAUCUUUCCCCUGAUCAACACAAGCCAUUUUUCCUUUUCAUAUUUUUCAGUGUUCUAAAUACAUUCUACUUUUGACUGCUGUACUAAUUAAACACACAAUUCCUCAUUCUUCCAUUUAAAAAUGGAGAAUGUUAAUCAAACUGAAUGAAACUAUCACUUUUUUUUUUGGAAGGGGAAGGUCAAAUUAUUUACAAUUUGUAUAAACUGUUAGAGCAUAAAGUGCAAUACAGGCUAAAUGCAUUGAGCUCCAUCUGACAUAAAAUUAUAAAAGUAUUAGCUGAUUCAUUUCAAAACAAAACAAUGAAAUAUAGGAAAAUCAAUGAUGAAUUUUACUUUAAUAAAAUUAAAGUCAGGGAUAUAAAGGCUGGAUCAAUUUUUCUUUAAUUUUCCAAAUAUCUUACUAUUUUCCUACUGUCUUUGUUUAGUUUUAAUAGGCAUGUUAUAGUAUACUUGCUCUGGGAAAUAAUCUAUGAUUAUAAAUAAAAAGUAUGCAUUCAUCAAUUCUUAAGCACAAUUUCAAAUACCAAAGUGUCAAUGCCAAAUUUCUGAUUUUAAUGAAGAAAAUAUUUAACAUUAAAUAAACAUUAUUUCAUUUAUAAUGCCAAUUUUUAAAAGACAUAGAAAAUGAAAUGUGGCAAAAUUAUUGCUUCCAAAGUUAAACUGGCACAAUCUAUACAAGACAGAAUUAAGCCAAAAGCAAACUGCACCAAAGCAAUUACAUAAUCAACUUUUAUGCCUUUUUUGACAUUUUAUACACAUUUACAAAGCUCUGUAACAUCAUGUACUCCUUAUCUUGAAGGGGAUGUCCUGCUACCUUCAGUACUUUAAUUCUAUACACGUUAAGAUAUUAGUGUGUUUAACCACUGGAAUGAUGUAAAUUUUGCAUGUUAAGCAGUAAAAUAAAUGCUUGGCAAAUCUUACUGAGAAGUUUUAUAAGUAUAUUAUUUUGCCAGAUAAUACAAAAACAUUCACAAUGGAAAACCAUGAGUAUUUAUUUUCAUUAUAACUUUUUAAAAAUGCAACAUUUCACAAUCCCUGGAACUGUAAGACACCUAUUUUUAUUUUUAUUUUUUUUUUAUAGAAUUGAGGGAAGUCUUUUAAAUGUCAGAAUAUAUAUGCCAAAUAUGAUUUAGCAUAUAAGCACCAAAAUCUGAAGUUUACAAAAAUUGUUGAACUUGUAAGGUGCAUUUAUUCAUGAAUUACACUAUUUGAGGGAAGAAACAGUACCCCAAACCUCAUUAGUAUUUAAGAAGUAGUUGAACAGCUUCCAACUUGUUGACAGCAAAAUAAAAAAAUAUUGCUUCUAGUUUUGUUACACAAGUCAUCUGAAAUUUAGAUUCAAAUUUAAAUGCCGUCUUUUAUUGUGAAUGGCAGUCUGAGCAUUAAUUUUAUGUCCCAGUUUAAGAUACUUCAGACACAAUUAGUAUUUAAUAACCUAAACAAAA